rnacentral:rRNA from 1 species
UGGGGAAUAUUGCACAAUGGGCGCAAGCCUGAUGCAGCCAUGCUGCGUGUGUGAAGAAGGCCUUCGGGUUGUAAAGCACUUUCAGCGGGGAGGAAGGCGGUGAGGUUAAUAACCUCAUCGAUUGACGUUACCCGCAGAAGAAGCACCGGCUAACUCCGUGCCAGCAGCCGCGGUAAUACGGAGGGUGCAAGCGUUAAUCGGAAUUACUGGGCGUAAAGCGCACGCAGGCGGUCUGUCAAGUCGGAUGUGAAAUCCCCGGGCUCAACCUGGGCACUGCAUUCGAAACUGGCAGGCUAGAGUCUUGUAGAGGGGGGUAGAAUUCCAGGUGUAGCGGUGAAAUGCGUAGAGAUCUGGCGGAAUACCGGUGGCGAAGGCGGCCCCCUGGACAAAGACUGACGCUCAGGUGCGAAAGCGUGGGGAGCAAACAGG